AGAGUUUGAUCCUGGCUCAGGACGAACGCUGGCGGCGUGCUUAACACAUGCAAGUCGAACGGAAAGGCCCUUCGGGGUACUCGAGUGGCGAACGGGUGAGUAACACGUGGGUGAUCUGCCCUGCACUUUGGGAUAAGCCUGGGAAACUGGGUCUAAUACCGAGUAUGACCAUGCGCCUCCUGGUGUGUGGUGGAAAGCUUUUGCGGUGUGGGAUGGACCCGCGGCCUAUCAGCUUGUUGGUGGGGUAAUGGCCUACCAAGGCGACGACGGGUAGCCGGCCUGAGAGGGUGACCGGCCACACUGGGACUGAGAUACGGCCCAGACUCCUACGGGAGGCAGCAGUGGGGAAUAUUGCACAAUGGGCGCAAGCCUGAUGCAGCGACGCCGCGUGAGGGAUGACGGCCUUCGGGUUGUAAACCUCUUUCAGCACAGACGAAGCGCAAGUGACGGUAUGUGCAGAAGAAGGACCGGCCAACUACGUGCCAGCAGCCGCGGUAAUACGUAGGGUCCGAGCGUUGUCCGGAAUUACUGGGCGUAAAGAGCUCGUAGGUGGUUUGUCGCGUUGUUCGUGAAAACUCACAGCUUAACUGUGGGCGUGCGGGCGAUACGGGCAGACUUGAGUACUGCAGGGGAGACUGGAAUUCCUGGUGUAGCGGUGGAAUGCGCAGAUAUCAGGAGGAACACCGGUGGCGAAGGCGGGUCUCUGGGCAGUAACUGACGCUGAGGAGCGAAAGCGUGGGGAGCGAACAGGAUUAGAUACCCUGGUAGUCC
rnacentral:rRNA from 1 species